rnacentral:rRNA from 1 species
GGCCGAUACUGACGCUGAGGAACGAAAGCGUGCGGAGCGAACAGGAUUAGAUACCCUGGUAGUCCACGCCGUAAACGUUGCAAACAAGGAGUUCGGAGUAUCGACCCUCUGUGCACCGAAGCUAACGCGUGAAGUUUGCCGCCUGGGAAGUACGGCCGAAAGGCUAAAACUCAAAGGAAUUGAGGGGGGCUCGCACAAUCGGUGGAGCAUGUGGUUUAAUUCGAUACUGACCGGAAAACCUUACCUAGGUUUGACAUCUCCGGAACCCGCCAGAAACGGUGGGGUGCCUUCGGGAGCCGGAUGACAGAUGAUGCACGGUCGUCGUCAGCUCGUGUCGUGAGAUGUACGGUUUAGUCCGCAAACGAGCGCAACCCUUGUCCUGUGUUGCAUUUCACAGGAGACUGCCUCGUUCAACGGGGAGGAAGGCGAGGAUGACGCCAGAUCAGCGUGUCUCUUACACCUAGGGCGACACACGUGCUACAAUGGCAGCUACAACGGGUCGCAAGGCCGCAAGGCGGAGCUAAUCCCUAAAAGCUGUCCCAGUUCGGAUUGGAGUCUGCAACUCGACUCCAUGAAGUCGGAAUCGCUAGUAAACGCGGAUCAGCCAUGCCGCGUUGAAUACGUUCUCGAGCCUUGUACA